rnacentral:rRNA from 1 species
AUGCGAUCAGGGUGGUCCUCAAUAUCAAAGAUGAUAGGCGUGCUGGACCAUUUCAGAGGCUUGCGUGACUCGAUGGGUGGUUCUGCUGCAUUGACUUCCCGCACCCACUGCUUGAGCUGGCGGUGUGAAGUAUGCAGAGAAGCACCACCGUCAACGCACAGGAACUCUGUGGCUUUCUGGAACUCCUGCUCAUCGGUCUCAUCUUCAUCCAUAUCUUCAUCGUCGUUGUCAUCUUCAUCCUUGUCGCGGCCGCGGGGAGGUCUGUCUCCUUGCCGCUGCUUGGCCUUGCCGCGGCGUCCUCCUCGGCCGGGAUGUUUCUUGCUAGCUCCUCCAGCACCUUCCUGGGCUUUCUCCUUGUCGUGCCGCUCGUAUUCAGCCUUUUGCUGCUCAACAAGCUGCUCGACCUUCUUACAGCUCUAG